GAUGAAGAACGCAGCGAAAUGCGAUAAGUAAUGUGAAUUGCAGAAUUCCGUGAAUCAUCGAAUCUUUGAACGCACAUUGCGCCCCCUGGCAUUCCGGGGGGCAUGCCUGUCCGAGCGUCAUUUCUGCCCUCCAGCCCGGCUGGGUGUUGGGCGCUGUCCCCCCGGGGACACGCCCCAAAGGCAGUGGCGGCGCCGCGUCGGGUCCUCGAGCGUAUGGGGCUUUGUCACCCGCUCGGGACGGACUCGUCGGCGCUGGUCUUCCUCCAGGCGACCCUUCGGGGCUCGUCUUCCUUCGGUUGACCUCGGAUCAGGUAGGGUUACCCGCUGAACUUAAGCAUAUCAAUAAGCGUAGGA
rnacentral:misc_RNA from 1 species